rnacentral:piRNA from 1 species
UGCAAAGAGAAGGUGGAGACUCAGAGG